GGUUUUGUAGUGUAAUGGAUAGCACUCGGGAUUUUGACUCUUCGUUGGAAACACGGCGGCUAAGAAAUUUCCCGCAAUCUGGGUUCGAUCCCCAGCAAGACCU